GAACGUGAUUUCCCAGCAGACACUAGAGGCUGCUCCCCACCCAAACUUUUUUUUUUUUUUCUUUUAUUUCUGUACACAGCCUAAGGGUGAAGGAGGUUCGGGGGAGAGCUCUGGGUCCUUGCGACACGUUGUUGUAAGGAGCAAGCUGUCCUCUGUUGACGCUCACCUGAUCGACUCAGCGAUCCUUAUGACAAUCCCAGAAGACAGACAUCUUGUUAUCCAUUCUGUAUUGAAACGGACACUGAGCAGAGAGAUAAAAUAAUGGCCACGUUUCCUGUGGUACUUCACUGUCUUUGAAGCAGUUUUAUAGCCACUGUUACACUGACUCCCGCAAACAUUUGAGAAUAGAAAACGGUUCUUCUCAGCUGGGUGUUGCAGGAACAUUUGAACAAAUGUCUAAGCCACCCUUAAGGCGCCAAUGACCAACCAAAGUGUCUUCCAUCAAGUCCAGCUUGGAGAACCAAUGAGUUUAUUGGUCUCACUUACAGAACAUGGGUGUCAUCGUUUUCCUUCUAUUGCUGUGAUAAAACAUCACAGCCAAAAGCAACCUGGGGAGGAAAGGGCUUAUACCUCCGUGGUCCAUCGCUGAGAACUAGGGCAGGAAUUCAAGCUGGGAACCUGGAAGCAAGAACUGAAGCAGAGGCCAUGGAGGAACACUUCUUACUGGUUUGCUCAGUGCACUUUCUUACACAACCCAAUCAACCUGACCAAGGGAAACACGGCCCACAGUGGGCUGGGGCCCGCCCCACAUCAAUCACUAAUCAAGAAAAGACUCCACAGACUUGCUUCUAGGCGGAUCUAAUGGAGGAAGCAUUUUCUCAACUGAUGCUCCCUCUUCCCAGAUGACUCUAGCUUGUGUCAGGCUGACAAAAACCGACCAGCACAAUGGAUGAGGGAUUAUUUACAGAAGUGUGGGGAGGAGACCCCAACAGCCACACCCCCAGAAAGUCUUACCUCAGCACAGAUGAUUGCUUCCCCAUAGCGGCACAGAGUCCCCUCCUCAGCCAGCUUCCCACCUUGUAGUCUAGUCUGGAGCCUGCAGAGACCGCAGGUCAUGUACAAUUAGUAGGAGAUCCCAGGCAACUGACCGGCAAGCCUGCCACUCUUCAUGAUGGACUUCAGUGAGCCUCCUGCCCUGAGCUAGCCCAAAACAGGAUGCCAGGUCCUAUCCUCCGGCCCUUUCCUGCUACCGCGGGAUGCUCUGUCUGGGCAACAUUCCCUUGUCUCCUCUGCUUCCCCACUUACUCCAGCCCGUGAGCACCUUUCUUUCCCUGAGCCCCCUAGAGACUUAUCCGGCGACCUUUAGUAUCAUUUAGAAUAGAACCUGCUGGAAAUUAGGUUCCCCGUGAUCAGCGACUUGGUGGGAUUUACUAGUUGUCCAUCAGUGGCCCUUUCCCUGUUACAUGGCUGCCAUACCCUCACCCCAUGACUCAUGUGUGACAAAGACCGAAAGCCAGCUGGGUACCUCUUUCUCAGCAGUGGACACGAAGGCAUGAAACCUCAGGCUGAGGUGUGAAGUCAGCUGGCACACCCUCCCCAUUCUUCCUCCUUGUGGGCUACACCCAACCUUGACCCUGUGAUGACCAUGAUGUGUGGGGCAAUGACAGAGCCACCAUGUGGAGAAUGCCACGGUCCCCAAACAGUCACCUGGACUAGAAAGCUCUCCACUGGCCCAGAAACACUCACCUAGAGACAGUUGAUUUGAUCUUUGUCAGUGACUUUCGGAACUGGAUCGGUCUCAGCGUCGCUGUGUAGUGGAGGAUGACCCUGAACUCUUCGUGAUCCUCCUGCCUCCACCUCCUGAGUGCUGGGAUUACAAGCAUAAACCACCACACCUGGUUUAUGCAGCCUGGAGCUAGGACCUAGGGCCUCCUUCACACUAGACAACUGAGCCCCACCCCCAGCUCUGCCAGUGACUGAAGAGCUGACCCUGUAUGCACACAACUUUGAGAGAAAGCCUCCUUAACCUCUGUGUCUCCACCUCCUCUCUCUGGCCCUGGCCAUACUCAGUGCACACCGAUCUCAGGAACAAUCACUGUGGGGCUUGCAACUCUUUUCCUUUUGGUCUUUGCCCAUGGUUUCUGAGGAGCAUUAAAUUUAAGAGGGUUUCCCUCCAGGUUGGUUGAGUCUGGGAUCAGCUCUUUAGAAACUCACUGAUGAGCAGCAAGAUGGCUCAAAGGAUAAAGAUGCCUCUGAACCUGAGGACCUAAGUUCUGUUCCAGGGACCCACAUGGCAGAAAGAGAACUGAAUCUUGGAAAUCGUCCCUUGACCUCCACACUUGUGCCCAGACACAUGAUUAAUCCAUUAAUGUAACAUAAAUACUGUCUAAAAGGCCACCGACAGAGCUGGGGGUAUGGCUCAAUUGGUCAAGGAGCUAUCUUUAGCAGCAGAGGAGCUUCCUGAAAGGCUGGUGACUAACUUGUGAGUGACAGGAAGCUACAGUGACCAGAGACCCUUUGAGAGCUCAGGUUGCCAAAAUAAAUUCGUUCUGUUCCUUUCU